rnacentral:rRNA from 1 species
AUGAGCCAUACAAUGAAGCUAUGGGAGAGAGUCAUUGAGCACCGCUUAAGAAGAAUGACAAGCGUGACCAAAAAUCAGUUUGGUUUCAUGCCUGGGAGGUCGACCAUGGAAGCCAUUUUCUUGGUACGACAACUUAUGGAGAGAUAUAGGGAGCAUAAGAAGGACUUGCAUAUGGUGUUCAUUGACUUGGAGAAGGCCUAUGAUAAGAUACCGCGGAAUGUCAUGUGGUGGGCCUUGGAGAAACACGAAGUCCCAGCAAAGUACAUUACCCUCAUCAAGGACAUGUACAAUAAUGUUGUGACAAGUGUUCGAACAAGUGAUGUCGACACCGAUGACUUCCCGAUUAAGAUAGGACUGCAUCAGGGGUCAGCUUUGAGCCCUUAUCUUUUUGCAUUGGUGAUGGAUGAGGUCACAAGGGGUAUACAAGGAGAUAUCCCAUGGUGUAUGCUCUUUGCGGAUGAUGUGGUGCUAGUUGACGAUAGUCGGACGGGGGUAAGUAGGAAGUUAGAGUUAUGGAGACAAACUUUGGAAUCAAAAGGGUUUAGGCUUAGUAGAACUAAAACCGAGUACAUGAUGUGCGGUUUCAGUACUACUAGCUGUGAGGAGGAGGAGGUUAGCCUUGAUGGCUAG